UUGCACGAUUUCGUAUUUUGAAUAUUAUUUUACUAUUCUCUUUUUGGUCGGCGUUUUAUACACGGCGGACGGACGGCGAAUACGGGAAAAAAAACAACCACGACGAAAGGGUGUGGAGGGUGGGGGUUGAACGGAGUGACAAGAUUGGCCGACGUGCGGUCCGGAGCUCCGCCGUUUUAUGGAUUUUCACUCGGUAUCGACCCAGACGCGCGCGAGUGUCGGCGGCGGCGGUGGCGACCGCCGCUGCCAUGGGGGAAGUAAAAAAAAAGAACCCGCGUGUUCAUACGAUAAUAUCGUACAUAUUAUAAUAUAUGUAUACAUAUACAGCAUUCUUGAAACCAUUUUGGCCGACCCUUCGAAUUUCAUACUCCACGGGCCGGAGGGACAGACUGACGCUGCACUAGUUAUUUCGAAACGAGUGCAAACGUGCACAGAGAUCUUUAAAUCGCAUAUUUCACAUUAUUAUGGUUGUAUACAGCUAUCAUGCAUAUAAAGGUACACUGCACCGCCAUAUAGUAUAAAAUCCUUUAAAAUUUGAUGAAACGACUUUCACAGAAACCGGCUAUAUUUUCCUAAUUGCAAAGAAAAAUAGGUUUUUUUAAGCAUUACGCACGUUGUAUAAUGUAUACUAUAUAUUGUCAUACGAUUUAAAAAUAACAAUUACGAUGUUUUAGUUUUUUAGCGUGUAUUUUAUAGUGUGUGCGGUACAUACCUACCUAGCGCAAUGAUGCCCUAUAUAGUUGUGAUGCGAAGAAGCUUUAUCGAUAUAGUUCAAUGCGAAUAGACAUUUAAUUAUUAUAGGCACCACGUAGAAAAUUAACUUUGAAUGAUAUAAGUAACAAUAUUACUAUAUGACAAUAUUAUGUAGAUAUAUUAAUUUAUUUUAUAGCUGCUUAUCACAGUUCUUUUUUUCUUUGAGUCAUAAUAAUCUAUUAAGACGAUUAAAUAGACUGUAUUACUAAAAAUGAUCACCAAAAUAUAGUGUAUAUUAUAUCUAGCAAUAUUUCGUGCAUAAAAUCUUGUUUAAAAUGUACACUACGAUACGCCUUUAAAACACAUAUUAUAUAAUAGUAUUUACACCACCAUGUAGUAUAUUCUUCGUAAUGUUAUGUUGAACCGAUGAAAUUUCUUUUAGAAUACGGCUUUUCCCCCCGAUUUUCGGUUUUUAACUAUUACGCUUGUUGUAUGUACGAUUGAAAAAACUUAUAUUUUAGUUGUUUUUUAGUUUUUUUAGUGUUUAUUUUAGUGUUCAUAACACAAUGGUUUAGUUGCGUGAAGAUAGAUAAUUUCAAUAGUUCAAUAUACUACGGAUAGACAUUUAUUAUUCGACAACGUAAAAAAUAUUAUUCUUUUAUGAUAACACCUAUAACAAUUCGCAGGUAUAUCAAUUUAAAUUUAUCGCUGCUUUUCAUAUUGUUUUGAUUUUUUGAGAUCAUGAUUGUUAAUGACUCGUUGCUUAAUUCUGAAAUGCAUCUAGAAACGUGUUACAUGUAGAUUAAAGACUUUAGGUAUACUCAUAUGACAUAUGUAUUGUAAGUUUAACAAAAGACUGUAAAUUAUUUUUAAAAAAAAUACAAAUAAGUACGUGUUUGUAUACUUACAAUACAUAAUAUAGUAUAUAGUUUUCGUAUGCUUUAUUUAGAAUGUCGCAAGGUAUUGUAAUUAAUAUUAUUCAUUAAUAGUGUAUACGUAAAUACUAAUAUAGGUAUAAAUAAUAAAUACAUAACUGCUAUUAAUUAUGAAGUUCACUAAUUAAAGUUUCAGUAAUUUAACAUUGAAUAGUUUAUACGUAGCUAUACUACUAUACUAGUAUAAUAUAUUUAUUCAACUGCAGGGUAAUACCAAUAUACCCAUACUGUACUGAAUGUUAAGUCUACUCUUUAUAUUUUAGUCUAUCAUAUAUUUUAAAGUGAGUUAUAUCGAGACGCAAAUAUAACAUUACAAUUAAACUGUAAUUAAAUAUGAAUACCAACUACUACUGAACGGAACUUAACUCUUAAGUUUAAUAAUUCCAAAAUGUUUGAUACACUCAUUAAUCUCAGAGGUUGGCCUGUUGAACAAACUGGUAAAAUAAAUCUAAGUUAAAUGUCAAAUUUCGUUUCUGAAAACUUGCAAAUCAUAGAACAUUUAAUAUUUAAUUGUUUUUACAUAUUUAAAAAAUGUAUAAAUGAAUUGUUUUUAUGCUCUGCUCAACAUUUCGCAAAAGACUUAUUACUAUAGUAUUAAUAGUUAUAUAAUUUGUGAAAGCUUUUAAAAGUUAACACACUCAGUAUAGUCAAUGUUUCAACACUAUAUUCUUAUUAUUUUAUUUUGUUAUUAAAACACCAACCAAUUCACUUGAUCAAAGCUUAAUGUCAUACCUUGCUAUAUAGUUAGAUAUUUAGUUUACGAUUUAUGCGAGUUUAUAUUAGUAUAUAAAAACUGAAAUAUUAUUAUAAUACGAGUGUACAUUUCUUAUAGAAAACGUCAUUCAUUGCUUUUAAUUUUUGUUCAAACUUUUAGAUAACUGUAUAGUUAUAGGUAGUCAGGACAAAUUUCUGUUUUCUUAUUCCACUGACAUUUGAUCAAAACAUAAUAUAGAUUUAUUAAUCGUAUGUAUUAGCAUUGUAUCUCAUUAUGUUUAUAGAACCAUGCAAAUAGAUGCAAGCCAUACACAGUAAACGAAUAUGAACAGAUUAAUUGCACAUCGUUACGGCUUAAUCGAAGUGUUGGUUUGAGUAUAAAUGUUUAGAGGCGUACGUAAUUGAUUUGGCUAUGGAGGAUUCGAUUUGUUAUCAGAUCGAGUGUUAUUUCAUUUGAAUCGCGCCUUACUAAAUUCUACGUUUGCAAUUUAAACGUCCAAACCGCAUUCGCAAGGCUUUGAUUGUAUUCACAGCCUAAAAUUGAUCCACAAAUAAUGCUUUGUAGCAUGUUAGCUACACGUAUUUACCAGCUUGAUUGUCAAUAUUAUAUAUAGUAACGCAUUAAACUCAAAUUUGCUUUUUACGAAAUGUAUGUAGGUAAUUAUAUGGUUCUUAUUAAUUAAUUUAUUAUUAUUGAAUAAUACGUUACGUUAAUAUUAUAGAGAGUAUAAUAAUAAAUAAGUCACACAGUGGCAGUAAAAUUGAAGAUUUUAGAGCAAAACACAUUAUACUAGUUACAAAACACUAAUUUCAAACAUGAAUUUUAUAUCGAAGGUUUAAAAACUGUUAAUAUAUCAACUAAAAUUAUUAUAAUAUAAUUGCAGCAGAAUACGAAAAUUAUUUCGAGUAGUCAAUGAAAAGCAUAAGAUACUGUAAAUAAUAUAUAAUAGCCAGUAACAAUUCAAAUUUGAAUUUUUACAUUUUUCUUCUUGGAUAAUUUUUUUUUUUUUAAAUUAAGUUAGGAUAUAUUUUACAUGCACUCAAAGCUUACUUGUGGUUAAUCAUCAGGGAUUCAUUGCUCCCGCUUUAUAGUAAUCCUAUAAUACACGAAUAAUACAGUGUAGUGAACAUUAGUUGAGUUUGUUUAAUUUAAUGAUAUAUUUUGAUACAAAAAAAUGUGCAUCUUAAAGCGAAUCAAGCGUUUAAAAAUAUCAUUGUUGUUUUGCAUGAUAUAAAAUAAUUCAGUGAUAAUUAUAAUUAAUUAUUUAUAAUUUAGUUUUUGUUACUUGUAUUCAAAACUAAUAUUUUUUUUAUUAGUUAGAUGCACAAGCAACACAAUAUUUUGGCUUUAAUUUUUUGCAGCAGAAGCAUUGUAGAAGCAUUAUUGUAGUAUUUUUUUUUAUAAAAUAUGCGUAUCGAUAAAACUUAUUUUAAAAGCAUCCUAUCUACUUCCGGAGUCACAUACUCAACAGUUUUAUAGGUAUAGUUUUAUAAGUAUUCUAUACACUAAACAGUUACAUAAAAAAUCAUUUUAUAAAGGGAAAAAAAUAAUAACAAUAUCAGAAAUAAUAAAUCUAUACAAUUUGACGUACAACUUAUAUAACUUAUAUACCAAUAACGCAUUUUUAGUCGAAUAUUUAUAAAGUCGAGUCGAUGAGUGAUGGACAGUGGUGAAAAAAUUCGUUACUGGUCGAAAUCAUCAGCCAAAUAAGCUACAGUGAUCAGAUGGCUCGUAGAUCCUACGUAAUAUUAUACAAUUUAUUUUUAGUGUCGUCAACAUAAAUCAUUAAAUACCUUUACGGUUAAAAACAUGCUUCACAAAUAAUGAAUUGGAGCAAGAACGUAUACCUACAAAUCUAAUGCGAAACUCAUUUGUGUUCAUUUAAAUCAUAAAAUUGAGGACGAAGUUUAAAAAUAUUUUAAUUAUUAGUAGUAAGUAAAUUGUUAUAGAAGUUAAAAUAAGGAUUUUUCUGUUCUGCAUCACUAAUAAUAAAUCCUCGUAGAGAUUAUUUUUAGAACAACAUCGAGCCUUCCGGGUAUCGGUUUAACGAGUACAUUGUAUAUAACUGUGUAGUAUGCGUAAACACACUAACGCACAGAGGUGCAGAUUUGAGUGUAACAUUUUCGGUCCAGUGCACCAUCAAUAUAAUAUAAGGGAAGGGUGCAGGGUGGUUAAUACUGGUUUGUUGAGCGUAUUUUGAUGAUGACCACGAUGCUUGCGAUUUUAAUUGUAAGUAAUCGACGAUAGUCGUGGUCGAAAGUCAUCCAGUUAUCGUACACCUAUGCGAUACACCUAUAUUGAGCUCGUCGGUUAUCGGUCGACAGUUACUUUUAUAACACAAACAGGAUUAGCAAGGCGUAUUGUACAACACCAACCAAACAAAAUUUACGGGGCGAUUAUACUUGGCAAAGGUAUACUAAAACUAAAUAUACGCGCACACUUUGCAGCGAGUGGCGUAUACGCGUACCACCUACCUAUACAUACAUAUAUAUAUAUAUAUAUAUUGUACACGAACGUUAAGGCGAAAAGUACGCUACAUCACGUGCUUUUAUGUACAAGAUACGAUAUUAUAUUACGCGCACACACAUAUAUUAUACAUGCGUGUGUGCACAUAAUAGGGGGAGAGAAAACCCUCGGGUGUGUAUGUAUAUACGAGAACUCGCACACGGACACACGCAGGGCCAUAAUUUAUUCGGCCGCCUUUGCAAAAACCGCUUUGUACCUGCAGCCCCGUUUCUGGGGCCGCGGGCGGGUCGACAGGAGAGCUCGCCUCGUCCGCCCCUCGCUCGCCGUCCUCCGCCGCGCCCCCGCUAUCUAUCUUUCUCUCCGUCGUCGUCGUCGUCGUCGUCGUCACCGUCACCGUCGUCGUCGUCGUCGUCGUCCCCGCGUCCUGUAUAAUAUUAUAAUAAUAUUUUAUGACGUAGGGAACGCACGCUGUAUGCACACAUAAUAUUAUGUAGGUAUACCGGCUAUAUAUAUUGCAGUGUGCGUGUGGGUACAAUACACACUCGACACACCGUAUAGGUACCCUUUUCGAGCGGUAGGCCCGGAGGACGACGUUAUAAAUAUAUGUGUACAUAUACACAUGCGUAUAAACACACACACACACACACACACACACAUACAUAUAGGUAUGCAAAGGAUUGACGGGCACGCGGAGGAGAGAACGGCGCCGCCGACAGUGGUGUUGGCCCGGGGAUUAUGUAAUUUACAAUUCUAAUUAUUUCGAAUAUUAUAUACGUACAGAGCCAUAAGAAGAACCUGGGCAACGGUCAUCGGUCCGGUGCUCACGCAAUUUUCACACAGCACACAAUAUUAUUAUAUUAUCGCGCCGCCACCGCUAUAUUAUAAUAUUUAUAAUAUAUAUAAUAGCGUCGCCGCGUGGGAUUAUUCAUGUACACGCAUUGCUAAACACUUGCCGCCGCCGCCGCCGCCGCUACACACACACACACGCACACACACACACGCACACACACACAUGUAUAUACACUUUUUCAUAAUGCAGUAAUCAGAAAACUCUCCUAUUGUGCCACCGAACCCGUGUGCGUGUGUGCAGGCCCCCGAGAUGUGUGCGCACACCCCGCGCACCUUUGGCGUUUUACUCUCUUGACGUUUUUUAUUUUUAUUUUUUCUGUUUGAAAAUUUCUCCGCUCUCUUUUUUUUUUCUUCUUUUAUUUAUGCGCUGUACCCGGAAGUUUGUGUUCUAAUGAAUGCCCCCGAAACACUUGAAACGAAUAAAAUAGCCGUGCGAUUAUAUUAUGUACACACGCGUACACAUGUAUAUAAGUACGACGACCAUUAAUAUGAUAUGCAUUGACCGCGUGUAAACAGUAUUAUAUAUAGGUAUAUAAUACAUAUACAUAAUAUAUAUAUAGGUAUACGCAUAGGUAUACGCACACGUAGGUGUACAUCGCUGGAAUACAAUCCCUUAAUUAUCGUCGCUGCAGGUUACUGUGUGUGUGUGUGUGUGUAUUAUAUAGGUGGUGCGUAUUACGUAUAUUAUUAUUAUUAUUAUUAUUAUUAUUAUUAUUAUUAUUAUUAUUAUUAUUACUAUAUACAUAUCCUAUCGUGUCGUAUAAUAUGACGUGACGAUAGCGCUAAUCACUUUGAGUCUGUGUGUGUGUGGUGUGGGAGGUGUACAUAAUAUUUAUGUAUACGCGAGUCUCGCGCUCUGCACAAUGUUUGCGAAACAUAGCAUCAUUUUUCUAGGCAAAUGUUAUUACCGGCCGUUGUACGAAUCCACCCCUAUCGCAAGCAAUAUAUAGGUACUCAUGCCUAUUAUAUAUAUUAUGCUCAUAUACUGCAACGUGAUUGUUUUAACUGCAUAAAAUACUCUUUGCUUCGAUGCGAUUUUAAAUACUUAGAAUAAUUUUUUUUUUACCUACUAUUCUGAAUUCAUAACACAGGUUUUUGGAAAAAUUAUACUUUUUACCAUUUUUGAUCAACUUUAAUGUUUUUGUGCUCGUUUUAAAUGAAAUUUUUAUGCAUAGAAUUUCUAGUAUUCGGUUUCGACGUAUGAAAUUCAAAAUGUAUUUAUUCGUGCAACCAAGAACUAACAUUCAAAAAAGUAAAAUAAAAACUAGACAAAUUAUAACUAUAAAACAUAAUGCAAAAUAUUACAUACUAUCUUCUUUAUUCCGAAACUAUUUAUUCUGUAAUGACUCAUAAAUUAUAAUAUAUGUAAAAAAUAAAUAUUUUUUAAGAUAAUAAGUUGAAAUAAGUUAAAAUAGUCUGAAUAUAUGUCAUCUAUACACAUCAUCGCAUUUUCUUUGUGAUGAUGAAACUAGUUAGAUAAAUAAUUGCACCGUUUGCUAUUUAUCCUAGUACAUAAUAAUAAUAUGUGUAGUGUAAAUUAAACCUAUUUUUACAAAUAUUUUAAAAAAACCAUGAUAUGACACAAUAAAAAAGGAUAAGCAAAAAAACAUAAAGUUCAUGUCACAUAACUAAUGUCAGUGUUGAUUGCUUCGCAGGACUAAAAAUAUAUCUAUUUAUAUAUACAUAUGUUUAUUAGGAGGUAGAAUUACUAUGAUUUAAAUAUUAUAAAAAUAAUUUUCAAUUUUGAGGAGAUAUAAAGGUUAUAUUGUAGAGCCAAACACAUAAAGGUACCUGAUUUUUUAAUGAUUUUUGACUCAUUAAUUGACAAUUGUGCGUUCCUAUCAUUUUGUCUUUCUAAUGCAGUUAUGUUAGAAAAUACUAAAUAACAUGAAGUUGCAGGAAUUCGUAUGAUUUAAAAUAUAUUUAAACUUUUAAAAGUUUGUCACAUACUAUUAUGGCGAAACGUGUGAUAUUUUUUUUCGAAUUCUUUAUCACACUGCGUGGAAAAUGCAUAUGGAUUUUAACGCCAUUAUCCACUGCCAGGGUCCCACACAAGUAUACAAGGAUAAGAGUUUUAAUGGUCUGUUUCCGUCUGCAGACCAAAGUGCGCGCGUGUGUACAGAUGUAAAUUGUGUUCAUUGCUGAAAACCUAUGUGCGUUUUGUUUCAUCCUUCACGUAUGUAUACUGUAUAGGCUAUGUAUGUAUAGGUAAGCCUGUGUGUAUAUUUACAGUAUAUACAUAAACAUAAGCGCAUUCAUAUGUCUGCGCGUGUGUGUGUGUGUGUAUAUAUAUAUAUAUAUAUAAUUUAUAUAUAUAUAUAUAUGGAGAACGAGGGAUAGAAUCCUAUUAAAGAACCGGACAAAAGGGUUUGCAGGCAAAAAGCUCGGCUUGCGAGUCGGGGAAAAAGCAGAGCAUGCAAAACUCGUGUCCUUUGUAAUUAAGAAAAUAAUUAAUGUUUUAUGCGCAACAACUGGCGAAAAACCAAUGUUAAAAAAACACACACACGUGUAUGUAUAUAAUACACACGACGACAAAAGGUCGUUGACUAGGUGGUGUAUGUGCAGUUGCGGGACAAUGCGACAGUGUGUCAAAAUCAACUGUUCACCAAGUUGUCGUACACAAUUUUAUAUUUCAGUGAAACCUAUAAUGCACUGAUGUUAUGUUAUUUUGUAGCUUAAAUGCUUAAUACGCUUUAACUAGAGAACUAACUACAAAAAGUUUGUUUUGUUUAUUAUUAUCAUACCUAAUAUAUAUAUAUAUAUGUGUAGCUCAAUAGUUGGGGACUAUAUAUAAUGUAUAUUUGUAAGGCUUCUAGGUAUAGGUAAUAGAUACAUACUGUUCUGAACACCAAUAAAACACCUAAUCAAAAUUCAAACAUAAAAUUCUAUCGACACUUGUUUUUCUGUUUACAGAUAAUACUACGUUCGACCAUUAAAUAAAAUUACAUUUGAUGAACAUUAAUUAGGCUAUAGCUAAUACCUAUUACGCACAUUGUCAUGUAAAAUUUACGAGGUAAAUUGAAGUAAAUAUUCCAAGAGUUUAACUUGAAACUAUGAUUUGGAACAUCAAUGAUCCACUUCACUUCAUCGAUUUAGAUUUUAAAAAAAUGUAAAUAUUUUUGUUUACCAACCAUAGGUUUAAUAAUAUUAUGCAUAGUUUACAAUAAUCCUUUUCGCGUUAUACCGCGGGGGGUAAUACUAAGCUAAAUACUCACGUACGUACACAAGUCCGGCCAUUUUCGUGAUUUAAAUAUGUAUUUUAAAUACCUAUGAUCUAUAGUUGUUACUUGAUAUAAUGUAUAGAUAUAUUAUAGCCACAUCAAUAUUUGCGAAUAAAGAACAUGUUACAUGUAUUAACACUAGCAACUCCAUUAAAUAUAAUUGUUAUACAAAACGUAAACGCGUAGUAAGGAACGUCUUAAUCUCAAACAUAAUAGUAUGUACCUAAUAUUUUAAUGCUCAAACACUAUUUUUUUAUUAUAUUACAACAAAAUAGCACUCGAAUAUAAUAUUCUAAAAUAGAGGCGAUGCCAAAUAUAAUCGUGAAUAUAAUAGGACCGGGAUUGCAGGGGAUGUUUUUCCCUGCUAUUGCAAUACCAGCACAUCACAUAUAUUGUAUUUUCGUUUUUGUUAUUAACAAGAUAUAAGCCCUUAUUUUGAUACAACGAUUCCCUGAAAAUGACGCCAAUAUUAUAAUACCGUGGACGAUGUCCGAAGGAGCAAACUAAUAAUAAUGAUCAUGCGGUAAUGUAUCGAGAAUUGCCAUUCAAGAUUCAUGAACAUUUUAAACACAUUAUCUUUACCAUCGCUGGUAGAUAUUAAUAUUAUUUUCUUUUCUUGCUUUUGUUUUUAACUUGUUUUUUCGUAUUGCCGUCCUAACGUGAACACAAUUUUAACACUGCCACUGUUUUAAAUAUACAUUUUGGUUUUACCUUAUUUAUACGUCCACUGUAGUUUUAAUUUUCUGUUAAUUAUUAUGCAUAAACCACCAUAAUCGUGACGAGUGUACAAAGUAGUCUGUUCACGUAUACGUAUUGUUAUCUGUAAAAUUUAAACAAAAUACAAUUAAAAAAAAAAAUGUAUAUUACUUUGAUUUUAUUAACUAAAUUCAUUUCGUUCAAAAACUAAAUUGGUUAUACUGCGCUUCUGCACACGAAUAACUAUUUUCAGACAUAAUAAUUAUUAUUAUUUUAGACGUAUGUUUUCUAUUUUCGAUCUUAUAUAAAAAUUUGAGUUCAUUGGUAUAUUAUAUUACCUAUUAAACUCCUUAAAAAAAAUGUUAUGAAAUUCCAUCAAGUAGGUCGUAGGUGUCUAUGUAUAAUCAUUUAUUAUAUACGGUUUUAUGUAAUAGGAUAUCGUCAUAUUAUUCCCAUUUAGAACCUAUGUCAAAAUUCACAUGAAUAUUACUAUAUUAUACAUUUACACAAUACUAUUAUAAUAGUAGGUAAAUUGUAUUCAUCUAAUUCUAAUAGGACGGUACACAACACAAACAUAGAAGCAUCGACCCUUCAAAUAAUAAUACACAUCGCUGUUAGCUACAAACGUUGCUUUACAUUAUUUACUUUAGAACAUAGGAAGUAGGUGUACCGUCAAUGUGUAUAAUAUAUAUAAUAUUAAGCCCUCGUGGUUAGCAUACGUUUUGAAUACUAUCCAUAUAAUAAUUACUAUUAACUUGUCUAGGAUAGACAUGGCGUUCUCAAGUGUCCGGUUUCCCAUUUGUUAUAUAGUGCCCUACAACUAUAUCAAUAGCGUGUUUACAUAAUAUAUAAUGUUUAUAUUAUGUAUAAAAUAAUAACAACCUGUCGAACGAAUAACCCCCAACGCACAACGAUGCACGAUACGUGGCAGACCAAAAAUAUCGUCGAAAUACGUAAUAAUUCCGGUAAAUCUCAAGCUCUAUAGAUCUUAUGACCAAAGGUCAUAUGUAAUAUACUUAAUAGCUUAUUAAAAUAAUAAAAUAAACUGUACAUAUAAGAUUAUCUGUAAGGUGAAUGAUACAUCGUACUCUAAUCACUGAGUCACACUAUUUGGUACCGAUAUAGUGAAGUCAAAAUGCGGAAGUCAUGAUAGACGAUAUUAUAACAAUAUAUACGAUUGUCGAUUAACCCGUCUGACUAUAUUACAAGUAUAAUACCCUUCAAAACCGUUUUCGCGGUCAAUUUAUAUUAUAAACAAAAAUGUAGUGAUCCUUUUUUUUGUUUAUAAUAUUAAAAUACAUAUUAUUAUUUAUACUUUAUACGAACAGUCUUAAGAGCAAAAUUGUUUUCUGUUAAAGUGAAGAUUAAGUUAAACACAUUUAACAUAAUGUAAAACAUUUAUUAACUUAAAGCUUACAAACCGAACAAAUGCGUCAAUCGAAUUUAAAUUUUAAUCGGUUCCCGAAAUUCUAUUCAACGAUUUCUAAACUUUUGAUUAGGUUCAUUUUUUCAUCUAAAAUAUCGAUAGGUACUAAUGCAGAUAUUUUUAAAAAUAAUAUAAAUGCCAACUUUUUAGUAAUGAAGGUUUUUAAAUAUGGACUUCUUGUGUACAAAAUAACUUAUUAACAUUUUAAACCCAUUCUUUUUGUUUAAAUAAUUAAGAUUUAACGAAUUUCGCUAAAAUCAUUAGUACAAUUAGUUAUAUAGUCAAAUAUAAUGAGUAUAUAAACCCGGUUACUCGCUGAACCGCAUAACUAUAGGUUUCAAAAUACAAAAUAUACUUAUAACUUUAGUUAUGGGUGCUCAUAUAGUUUCAUAUUCAUGAUAAAUGUACAAUUCAUUCUAUUUUUUUGCUUUGUUAAUUUUUAGAUUUUUGACAGUAAUAACUAAACGUAAAUAUGAAAUAUAGUGUAUUUGUUUUUAUAAUUACUUUUAUUUAAAAAUUACCUAUUAGUUGCUAUGUAUUACAAUACUAGGGAAAAUUAUGGUAAAUAUAUUUGUAUAUAAGAUUUAUUUAAAGCUAUACUCUAAUAACUUUGUAUAGGUACUUCGCCGUUUGUGCACUGCAAAAAAGUAAUUAUUUUCUCAAGGCUCAAGCACCAUAUAUUGUAUACUCACAAGACUUCUAUAAAAUAAAAGGCUUAAAGUUAACACACCAGCUACACAACAGAUGCACAACGCUACAAUAGAUACACAAUUAGAGCAAAACAAAAUAUUUGUACACCAUUUUUGCUUUUAGUUUACACCAUUAUACCUAGUCAGUAGAGAAAUAAUUUAGUUAGUCACUAAUUCCCUACCUUUUUUUUCGAAUAGGUAAAUGGUUUACUUAAUUAACUUGCUAUUUAAAAUACUUACAAAUUCUAUAACCGGACAUACACUUGCAACUGUGAUUGUCAAUCUUCCUAUAAAAUCAAACAUGUCUGAAAUUCGUCGACCAGAUUGUUAAUCUUUUUCUUUUCUUAUAAAUACAUUGCUGAUUGUCAUUCCUCGAAUGAUAGCGUAGUAAAGCUUAUUAAGUUCAUUAUAAAACACAUGCAUAAUAAUAUCGACGUCCACAACAAAGAGGGAAGCAAUUCAAUUUUCCGAUUUUUUUUUUUCAAUCUGGUAUUACUGUUUAUCUGGAUGUCCAGGAAAACUGAUUGUGGCAUAAAUAAUUAACCAAAGACGUUAUAAACAAAAAGAUUGAGUUACUGCCAUUUUCGUUGGAAGUCCAAGAAAACAGUAACAACAAACUGAAAAAAAAAAAUUAUAAAAUUGAGUUGCUUCCUUCUUCGCCGGGGACGUCGAAUAAUCGAUAUCAGAACAUUCACAUUAUGUAGUUUAUGUUCAAACAAUAUGCUUGUAAUGAAGUGAAAGUAGACAGAAAAAUUAAAACUAUGAUCGUAAAGUAUUAAUUCUAAUACUUGUUGCUUUAUGUUAUUCCUAAUUCAUUAUUAUAAAUUAUAGUACAUAAUAGUUAUUCGUCAUAUUAAAACUAAUAAUAUUAUUAUGACAUGAAUGCGUGAGUUUAUUUGGUACAUAUCAUAUUUUUUAAGCUGUAACUAUAAUAGAAAUGAACUAUUUUUGUUUAAUGUAAUUUCUACUUAAACUGCUAAUACCUACCGUUAUAAUAUGCUAUUUUGUGUGAGUACAAUUUCAGAAGAAAAGAACUGCUUUUAUAUUUCAUAUAUUAAUAUCGCCAAGUAUUGCUUAACCAGUUUGAAAACUUCAGUUUGAAUGAAUAUAUAAGCUUUAUAUUCCUAUUUAUUGUAGCUACAUGCAGCUUAAUAUGAAAAGGAUAAAAGAAGACGGAACUUGUGAAUAAAGUACUACAUAGACAUGUUUCGAUCAAUCAGGAUUUACUGCAGCACGUCAGCAGUCAGCACCUAUACACUUGAAGAUAUGUAGGUGUAAACAUUAUGAUAUUUUGAAUCAAUCGGUACUGCAACCAACUGGCUACUGGUAUUUCUAGAUAACGUAUAUAUAGCUUAUAAACCUUUUUUCCCUAGUCUGGGUACUUUCGUUAUUGCCGCAACAAUAAUUUUGUCCUUAUCAGCAUUGUCCGCACUUGGGCUUUUAGCACCGUUUCGCCGCAUUUUUCGGUAAGUAGCAAAACGAGAGCAACGGCGUUAUGAAUCAGAUUCUUAAACGGCGGUUCUAACAACUAUACAAUAAUAACGUUUUUCCUUUGUAUUUUUCUUAUAUACUUGACAUUUUUUUUUACUAACAAAAAGUUGUGAUUUAUUUAUUUUGUCAUGUAAACCUGAGAACCACUAUUGUUCUAAACAUUGUUAAAUCCAAAUCUAUAGAAGCAAAUUAUUAAAGGUCCCCACACACUGCAGCGGUGGCGGUGAAAUUCUUUUGUCUUGGCGGUGCCGCCGCGGUGGCGGUGAAUUGUGUCCGGACUCAUUUUACCGCCACCGCUACCACCACCGCGGCAGUGUGUGGGGACCUUAAGGCAUGUCAAUUUUAUCACAAAAAAUAUUGUAAACAUAUCUAAUUUUUGGCAACGUUUUUCAUUGGGUAUGUUAGCUUUUAUAAAUAAAUCUAAUUCAUAAAUGUAUAAUAUUCUAAUAUGUGUAUAAUGUAUACAUACAUGUAAAUACAUUAAACGUGUAAAUUAAUAAUUUGUACCCAUUAAAAAUAAUAUAAAAACGACAUGACCACUGAUAAGUAACUUAAAUCCAAAUAAUUAAAAUAUAACCGUGGUAUAUCCUGAGAAAAUAAUAGAGGGAUGUUUCGACAGUGCUAUUUCAUUCAAAGAGAAGAACGGAUUAUAAUAUGUUCAUCGUCGAAAAUAGCCAAGGUGUAACACGUGUUUACUUCCUUAUACCUUUGAUUACAGUUUUUAUUUUUAUUUUCAAAGUAAAUCUGAGUGCAGAUUUUAAAUGGCGAAGGAGGUAACUGUGAUGAUUUAUAGAUUACCGAGUAUCAUUUAUGCCGCACUCAGUGGAUUUUCUUAGGUAUAAACAGAACACAGGGACGUGGAGUAUGAUAAUAUAAAUCAUUGGCAUAGCUAAAAAGUCGAGUUCAAAUCGUGAAGUAGAGAUAUCAGUCAUCUCUACAUUUUUAAGUAACAUUGUUAAUUUAAUUUAGAAUAGGUAUAAUAACCUACCUUAUAGAUCAUCACAAUAAUUCAAUUUGUUUCAACUCGUACUCCGCUACCCCUGUGAUCUUCGAUUUAUUACUCUUAAGAACAGGGUUACUCAGGUGUUUGUUUACUGUACAAUAUUAUUACAAUUCAAACAUUUAAUAAACAUUGUAUGUACGUUGCUA